rnacentral:lncRNA from 1 species
UUGGGACCCCUUUCCUGGGAACACAGGCCCCCAGGCCCUCAGUAUCACCAUCACCAGGGGAGUCUGGCCACUCAAACCAGAGUGAACACACAAGAGACUGAAGGGCUGGCCAGGCACGGCCUCACCUGGGUCCCCCAUAGGGGACAUGAUAGCGGUUCAGGACGUAGCUCUUUCCCCCAGAGCUCACAGAGAUGCUCCUGUUCUUGGUCCAAAAGUCCAACUCCAAGGCCAGGGUCUCCAGGUUGUCCCUGGGGUGGAGCCAGGCACCAGCUCAGCCCCGCCCCGCCCCGCCCCAGGGAGCCUCAGGAAGGGGGGCGAGGGCAGCAGGGGGCGGGGUGGCCACCGGAGGAAGGCGGUGUCAUUGGCCUGAGUCACGUAGCGCUCCAUCAUGAGGCUCAGGAGCGGGGGCUGGCUCCGCUGCAGGUAGUACACGCGGGCCCCGUUGGGGACGUGUCCGUACCUGCCGAGAACGGGGCCGCUGACACCCCUGCCCCCACUGCAACCACCCCCCGCCCCGAGCCCAGGCAGAUCUCGGCCCAAGCCCAGGGCCCUGCCCCUCCUGCACCCCGGCUGAGAUGCCCGGGCCUCUUACGUCUGCACCAAGUCCAGGAAGUUCUGCAGCAUGCCCUUCACCGUCCCUGGCAUCUCGGACAGGAGCAGACCCUCCAUCACCCAGUAGGAGUCCCUGGGGGAAGGACAGCUCAGGAUCCCCCACCCCGCCUGGGACGCCCCGCUGGCCCCAGCCCCCCGACCCCCGCAGCUCUUGGCCGCUCACCAGUAAUAGAACUCGACAAAGCGUCCUCCUGGCACGAUGAACGGGUGACCCGAGUAGAUGAGAGAGGACCGCUCGGGGUGGCUGAGGACCUCUGGCUUCACCUGGAGUCAAGAGAGAGGGUGCGGGGAGCCCAGGGCCAAGUGGAGGGGAGGCGGGAGGAGGCCGCGGGGGAGGCCCUGGCAGCUGUGGGUUCUGGCUCUGGGGCAGCUCUGCCGUGUGGCCUCGGUCAAGGCCAGGGCCGUGGGGAGCGUGGUCUGCUCGUGUCCCCGGCUGGCCUCUGGAGCCCCAGCAAGAGCACGAAGGUGUGCAGGAGCCACCACCGCCCAGCCUGA